rnacentral:rRNA from 1 species
GAUGAACGCUGGCGGCGUGCCUAAUACAUGCAAGUCGAGCGAACAGACGAGGAGCUUGCUCCUUUGACGUUAGCGGCGGACGGGUGAGUAACACGUGGAUAACCUACCUAUAAGACUGGGAUAACUUCGGGAAACCGGAGCUAAUACCGGAUAACAUGUUGAACCGCAUGGCUCAACAGUGAAAGACGGUCUUGCUGUCACUUAUAGAUGGAUCCGCGCCGCAUUAGCUAGUUGGUAAGGUAACGGCUUACCAAGGCAACGAUGCGUAGCCGACCUGAGAGGGUGAUCGGCCACACUGGAACUGAGACACGGUCCAGACUCCUACGGGAGGCAGCAGUAGGGAAUCUUCCGCAAUGGGCGAAGGCCUGACGGAGCAACGCCGCGUGAGUGAAGAAGGUCUUCGGAUCGUAAAACUCUGUUAUUAGGGAAGAACAAAUGUGUAAGUAACUAUGCACGUCUUGACGGUACCUAAUCAGAAAGCCACGGCUAACUACGUG